rnacentral:pre_miRNA from 1 species
CUGGUCACAUGAGGUGCAGUGUGAUAGUGGAAGACACUGCAUACCAUGUGAUCUCGCU